ensembl:snoRNA
CUAGCACUUUUCACUAGUCCUUCCGUAGGCAGUGGGACCAGGAUUUGGUAGCUGGUCCUGAAAGAAAAUCCUUGAUUGUAUCUUUGCCUUGGGACUGUACUAGUGGCAGUUGACAUUCAAUGGGAUAGAG